UAGAAGAGAGAGCAAAAUGCCCCAGUAAGAGGAAGUUGUAGCCCUUGACGUCCCAGUAGAUGCUCCGCCCUUUCAAAUAGGAGAAAGCACAGGCUGAGAGCACGAAGAAGGAGAACGGGGGAAAGAGAGUGACUGCGACCAAGGGAAAUAGCGAGCAGAUGAUGUUUACAGGUCCGUGAUAAAAUGACUAAAACUUUGCGAAAAAAACACGAUGAAUUUAUGUUCAUACGACAAAGCUGGACGUCGCUUUUGGACCUUGGCAGACACCCCUGGUAAAAAGAUGACGGAAGAAUUCUUAGUUCCAUAAUAUAACUAUGAAUUUGUUCCACAUACAUGCAAAGUGAAAGGACGUGAAUGAAUGGAAGAUUCCAGUCAUCUGUCAGUUUGUGGGCGUUGUCAUGAGAUUGCUGGGAAAAGAAUACUGCUUGACCCCUACUGGACAAACAAGUGGAGACUACAGCUUUGUCGGGAAGAUGGCGGCUCUGAUUUUUGAUUUUGAAUUUGCAAAAUAACUUUUUGGUUUUGUUUUUAAUGUAACUUUUUUUUGCAGUUGUAUUCUGCUGGUAAAUGUGUUUAAUUCCCCCUUAUUUGACAAUUUUGUUGGUGUUUUUUUCUUUCAGCUAUUAAUUGUAUUAUUAUUCUAAGUUGAAUACAUCAUUUAAUAUUUAAAUAAAAAUAGUUUUGAACGAUAUUGAUUUUCUCUCAUUUAAUUGGGGAAAUGUGUCUUAAAAUCUGAGUUAAGCUUUCUUAUUAAAAUGGUUAUGAUUAAUAUUUGUUGUUUUUGAGGUUUGUCAUUUUCACCUGGAUAAUGGUUUAGCAAGUCUUCACAAAUUAAAAAAAAGUUCUGUUUUGCAUUCUGACAAUCCUCUUAUAUAGUUAUUGCAUUACAAUCACAAACUUUUAAUUUACUAUUUAAUUUUAAAAUCUAAUUUUGACUCACCUGAGAAAGUAUAGUCCCUUUUAGAUUUAUAGCGCUGUAUUUAAACAAUAUAUUUGUGGCUGUGCAAAUAAUAAUUUUUUAAUGGUACAAACUAUGCUCACAAUGCUUUAGUCUUUUAAGACAAGCUUGUGUAUAGAUGUCCUAAAAUGGUGUCUUUCACAGUCCAAAGCUCUAAAAUGGCUCCCAAUGUCUGAUUUCCUGUCUGAGCAGGAAGUGAUUCUGUCCUGAAAUUUUCCCAUCCCCUGAAAACACAGAUUAAUAAAGUUUAAGAUUA